rnacentral:rRNA from 1 species
ACGAAGGAAAUCCUCCGAGCUUGCUCGAGAGAGUAAAGUGGCGCACGGGUGAGUAACGCGUGGGUAACCUGUCCUUAAAUUUGGGAUAAACCACCGAAAGGUGGCCUAAUACCGAAUACCGUUCUGAAAACAAAAGUUUUCUGGAUGAAAGCUGACCUCUUCGCGAAAGUUGGUGUUUAAGGAGGGGCUCGCGUACCAUUAGCUUGUUGGUAGGGUAAAGGCCUACCAAGGCAAAGAUGGUUAGCUGGUCUGAGAAGAUGAUCAGCCACACUGGAACUGAAACACGGUCCAGGCUCCUACGGGAGGCAGCAGUGAGGAAUCUUGCGCAAUGGGGGAAACCCUGACGCAGCGACGCCGUGUGAGUGAAGAAGGUCUUCGGAUCGUAAAGCUCUGUCAAGUGGGAAUAAUGUCCUAAGGAAAAUAUCCAAGGGAUUUGAAGGUACCACUAAAGGAAGCACCGGCUAACUCCGUGCCAGCAGCCGCGGUAAUACGGAGGGUGCAAGCGUUAUUCGGAUUU